CACUAUUUAAUCCUGUGAUCCCCUCCCCUCUCUCCUGGUGCGGCCAUAGACUCUGUGUGAUGGGAGCACGUCACCGUUUCAAAAGUGUCCUUC